UACGUAGGGUGCGAGCGUUGUCCGGAAUUAUUGGGCGUAAAGAGCUCGUAGGCGGUUUGUCGCGUCGGCCGUGAAAACUUGGGGCUUAACCCCAAGCCUGCGGUCGAUACGGGCAGACUUGAGUUCGGCAGGGGAGACUGGAAUUCCUGGUGUAGCGGUGAAAUGCGCAGAUAUCAGGAGGAACACCGGUGGCGAAGGCGGGUCUCUGGGCCGAUACUGACGCUGAGGAGCGACAGCGUGGGGAGCAAACAGG
rnacentral:rRNA from 1 species